UAGUUUCAUCCUCACCAUUUUUCUUCUGAUCCUCACCGAUUCUCUUCUCCGUUCCCUUACCCGCGGGAAAGAUGCCUUCGGAAGAUGCAAAGGCAGUGAAGAAGGAGGAGGAGGAGGAUUUCAAAGAAGAAGACGAAGACGAAGACUAAAACCAAAGCCUCGGUUCUAUUCUCGUCGAGGGCCGCAAGGAGAAGAAGGAUGCUAAGCCCGUCAAGAAAGAGAAGGUCGUCGAAGACCAAGAAGAUCGCAAGAAGGCACCUGCCAAUGCUGCCCCCAAGUCUCGCUUUAAGCAAGCUAAGGUGAAGAAGGAAGAAAAACAGGAUGAUUGCAAUGACGACGACGACUAUGAUCUUGAUAAGCCCCUUGCUAAAAAGAACAUCAACAAGGCCGAUGAGCAGCAGCUGCAGAAGAAGAAAAAAAAGAAGGAAGACUUGGAGGAGACGAAGAAGAAGAGGGAGAGGAAGGUGUAUGAUUUGCCUGGUCACAAGCGAGACCCUCCAGAGGAAAGGGACCCAUUGAGAAUUUUCUAUGAAACGCUGCACAAGCAAGUGCUCAACAGUGAAAUGGCCGCAUUCUGGUAUGCAAUUUAUCCCCGCUAACUGUGUUAUCUUCUCCGUG